GGGGGGGGGGGGGGGGGGGGGGGGGGGGGGGGGGGGGGGCGGGGGGGCCGGGGGGGGGGGGGGGGGUGGGGGGGCGAGCGGGGGAGUAACGCGGGGGGAACCGGCCCGUGACUUUGGGAUAACUUCAGGAAACGGGGGCUAAUACCGGGGCGGAGCUCCUGCUGCAUGGUGGGGGUUGGAAAGUUUCGGCGGUUGGGGAUGGACUCGCGGCUUAUCAGCUUGUUGGUGGGGUAGUGGCUUACCAAGGCUUUGACGGGUAGCCGGCCUGAGAGGGUGACCGGCCACAUUGGGACUGAGAUACGGCCCAGACUCCUACGGGAGGCAGCAGUGGGGAAUAUUGCACAAUGGGCGGAAGCCUGAUGCAGCAACGCCGCGUGCGGGAUGACGGCCUUCGGGUUGUAAACCGCUUUCGCCUGUGACGAAGCGUGAGUGACGGUAAUGGGUAAAGAAGCACCGGCUAACUACGUG
rnacentral:rRNA from 1 species